CUCGCGUGAACCCUACCCGCCCCCGCCCCUGCCCACAAUUUCCGCUGCCGCCGCCGUCCUCGGGGUCUCCGUCCAGACUCCGGACCCGUCCCUGCCGCCACCGGCGCCCAUAGCCUUGAUUUCCCGUCCCCCUCCAUCGCCUGCCUUUCCCGGCCCCUUCGCUGCCACAACAUGGGCAUCUUCGCUGGCCCGAGUUUCCACCGACGGCGGUGAGCAUAUCCCAGAUCCCCUAACCCCAUCCACUCAUGCCUUCCCCAGUGCCGUGGCCAAGGACAGCUCCGUCCGCCGGGAGCUUCACAAACCACCACUAGCCCUCACGAAGGACCAAGUCAGCGCCCUCCUCUUCCUCCUCUCAGGAAAAAAUCUCGUCUCCAACAAGCUCGGCGAUGCUGCCACCAAUGGCGCGAUGUCUCAUGAAAGCUUGUCCUAGAGGCAUGCCGCUGGCACCGGUGGGCCCUCACUGAUCUUAUCCAAGCCAUUUGAGGAUAUGCCGUGUCAAGAUUCUAUGCUUGGUCUUCUUGGUUUGACAUCCAAUUCAAAAAUAUGUUCACUUCCCUGGAGCAGUCAUAGCGGCAGUGGUGGAGCGUGACAAGCAACCAAGUGGCGCCAAAUUCAAACUUAAAGAAAAAUAUGUGUGAUAAAUUGAAAACAGGUGCGGCUUAAGGAAGGUGCGGCUUAGAUGCAGCAGCAAGCCGCCGGUGAUGAUCGGUGGCGCACAAUACGGCAGGAGCAUUAGAUGACGAGAAGGGCAGCAUCAGUGCUGGCGUGCAGAUGCAGCAGCAAGCCGCUGGUGAUGAUCGGUGGCGCACAAUAUGGCAGGAACAUGAGAUGACGAGAAGGGCAGUAGCAGUGCUGGCAUGCAGAUGCAACAACAAGCCGCUGGUGAUUAUCGGUGGUGCACAAUACGACAGGCAUUAACAUUCGUGGCGUGCAGAUGCAGCAGCAAGCCGUCGGCCAAUGCUUAGUGGGGCGCAGAACGACAUGAUAAAUGGAUGACAGAGAAGGUGGCGUCACACCCCUGUUUGUCCUCCAUGAGCCUCCGCCAGUGCAUAGAGGUACGUAGCCACCUAGCGCUUGGAUGUGAGGACUUGGAGUGUCAUGCAACAUUUGGCUGUUUGUCGUAUUUUGGAUCAGCCUACUUCCAUUGUAUCAUGAAUCUUAUGUGUGUUUUGGACCAUUUGGUGCUUCAAGUCUUUUGGAUUAGAAACUUUGUGCUCAUGGAUGUAACUUGUCUGUAAACUCUUCCAGACCAGCAAAUAGUGGUCCUUAUGUCACUUGUGUGUUUUGGAUGGUCAUACUAUGCUUAUUGUUGUGUUUGUGAACCUAUGUGAGUAUAUAUGUAUGAUUUUUAACUUAA